GGGCAGCACGAUAAAGCUUGCUUUAUUGGUGGCGACCGGCGCACGGGUGCGUAACGCGUAUGCAACCUACCUUAUACUGGGGUAUAGCCCGGAGAAAUUCGGAUUAAUCCCCCAUAGUAUUAUUAGAUCGCAUGAUUUGAUAAUUAAAGGUUACGGUAUAAGAUGGGCAUGCGUCCUAUUAGCUAGAUGGUGAGGUAACGGCUCACCAUGGCGACGAUAGGUAGGGGGCCUGAGAGGGUGGUCCCCCACACUGGUACUGAGACACGGACCAGACUCCUACGGGAGGCAGCAGUGAGGAAUAUUGGUCAAUGGGCGCAAGCCUGAACCAGCCAUGCCGCGUGCAGGAAGACGGUCCUAUGGAUUGUAAACUGCUUUUAUUCGGGAAUAAACCUCCUUACGUGUAGGGAGCUGAAGGUACCGAAUGAAUAAGCACCGGCUAACUCCGUGCCAGCAGCCGCGGUAAUACGGAGGGUGCAAGCGUUAUCCGGAAUCAUUGGGUUUAAAGGGUCCGCAGGCGGUCUUAUAAGUCAGUGGUGAAAGCCUACAGCUCAACUGUAGAACUGCCAUUGAUACUGUAGGACUUGAAUUCGGUCGAAGUGGGCGGAAUAUGACAUGUAGCGGUGAAAUGCUUAGAUAUGUCAUAGAACACCGAUAGCGAAGGCAGCUCACUAGGCCUGGAUUGACGCUCAGGGACGAAAGCGUGGGGAGCAAACAGGAUUAGAUACCCCUGGUAGUCCACGCCGUAAACUAUG
rnacentral:rRNA from 1 species